AAGUGGUAGCAAUACCAUGAGUAAAGUGGCGCACGGGUGAGUAACACGUGACUAACCUACCCUGGAGUGGGGGAUAACUGAGGGAAACCUUAGCUAAUACCGCAUAAUACCUACGGGUCAAAGGAGCAAUUCGCUUUGGGAGGGGGUCGCGGCCGAUUAGUUAGUUGGCGGGGUAAUGGCCCACCAAGACUGUGAUCGGUAUCCGGCCUGAGAGGGCGCACGGACACACUGGAACUGACACACGGUCCAGACUCCUACGGGAGGCAGCAGUGGGGAAUUUUGCGCAAUGGGGGAAACCCUGACGCAGCAACGCCGCGUGGAGGAUGAAGUACUUCGGU
rnacentral:rRNA from 1 species